CCGGAUGCUGUUGGUGAAUGGCUUCUACAUUGCCAUGUUAACACUCACGUAGAUAUUGGAAUGGUUACAACAUACACUGUUCAAGACCAGACAGAUUAUUCGCCAAAAGAAGAAUUCGUGCAUUCGGAAUUCUUUGCACGAUUUGACAAAAAGAUAACCCUGAGUGAGGCAAAAAAGUUUGAAUUUCCAAAACAAGAGGCAUUUGUG